AUUGAACGCUGGCGGCAUGCCUUACACAUGCAAGUCGAACGGUAACAGGGAGCUUGCUCCGCUGACGAGUGGCGAACGGGUGAGUAAUAUAUCGGAACGUACCUUUGAGUGGGGGAUAACUAGUCGAAAGAUUAGCUAAUACCGCAUACGAUCUACGGAUGAAAGUGGGGGCUCGUAAGACCUCAUGCUCAUAGAGCGGCCGAUAUCUGAUUAGCUAGUUGGUGAGGUAAAGGCUCACCAAGGCAUCGAUCAGUAGCUGGUCUGAGAGGACGACCAGCCACACUGGGACUGAGACACGGCCCAGACUCCUACGGGAGGCAGCAGUGGGGAAUUUUGGACAAUGGGGGCAACCCUGAUCCAGCAAUGCCGCGUGAGUGAAGAAGGCCUUCGGGUUGUAAAGCUCUUUUGUCAGGGAAGAAACGGGAUGUUCUAAUACAGCGCCCUAAUGACGGUACCUGAAGAAUAAGCACCGGCUAACUACGUGC
rnacentral:rRNA from 1 species